AACGAACGCUGGCGGCAGGCUUCAUACAUGCAAGUCGAACGAUUAAAGCCCCUUUCGGGGGUGUAUAAAGUGGCGAACGGGUGAGUAACAGGUGGAUAAUCUGCCUUUCGGUGGGGGAUAACGGUUGGAAACGGCCGCUAAUACCGCAUUCGAUUGCGAGGGCUUUGGCCUUUGCAAGGAAAGGGGCUUCACGGCCCCGCCGAAAGAUGAGUCCGCCCCCCAUUAGCUAGUUGGUGGGAUAAUAGCCCACCAAGGCGAUGAUGGGUAGCCGAGCUGAGAGGUUGAUCGGCCACACUGGAACUGAGACACGGUCCAGACACCUACGGGUGGCAGCAGUAGGGAAUAUUGGUCAAUGGGCGAAAGCCUGAACCAGCCAUGCCGCGUGAGUGAUGAAGGCCUUCGGGUCGUAAAACUCUUUUCUGAGGGAAGAACAUCCCGGGUAGGAAAUGCCCCGGGCUUGACGGUACCUCAGGAAUAAGCAACGGCUAACUCCGUG
rnacentral:rRNA from 1 species